rnacentral:lncRNA from 1 species
UCAGCAAUUUUUGCAAAGACUGUAUAUUUUUAAGUUGGUCUGGAGAUCAUCAGGAUGGGACCUUAGCACCAGCAACCUCCAACAGACUGCAGUGUCUCAGCCUUUAAUAUACUUCCACCCCUGUGUGUUAUACAGCCAUGAUACUGAACACACAAGGCAGACAGCUGCCCUGAGGCAUUCUCCGUAAAAACUUUCAUAUCACAACGGAACUGAACACACCAUUAUAACACCACAUCUCCUCUUCUUCACAACAGUCUCCUGUUUUUCCAUAUCUCUGCUGCAUUCUCAU